CCAGGCCCUGCGCCUAAACUCCACCCAAGGUCUUUUUGUUUUCCCAGAGUUGGGAUCUCUCCAACCUUUGCAUAGGUUGUGCCCUUGGGCCUGGAAUGCCCCCCUCCCCUGUCUAGGAAAGGGUUCAUUUUCUUUUAGGACACUAUUCAGAGAGCACCUCCUUCAAGAAGCCCUCCUGACCCCCAGGCUUCCCACCAACCAAAUGAGGAGUUCCAGAUGCCCAUAGGAGAAUGUCCAGCACUGCCCAUCCAUGGCUGGGCUCACAGACACUGGCAGGACCAGCAGAGGACUAGGCACUGGGGAGCCACAGAGGAACUCCUGAGAGAGGGAUUCAAGCCCGGCUGUGAAGGGACUGACCCAGCCGCUCAUGCUGAACCACAAAGGAGCCCUCCCUCGGCUUUAAGAUCACUGACUCAGGCCCUCUGUCUCAGCCAAGUGCUCGGUGUCUGGCAGGUGCUCAUUGACGCAGGCUCAUUGGAACUGAAUUCCUGUGCCUACUCAUGUCGGCUGGCAGGGCUGCCCGACGCACUGGCCACACAAGAAGUACUAUGCACAUCACAAAGUGAGGGGCCAGGACAGGUCAACUGUUCACGCUGCUGUGGCUACUGGGAGUUGAUUCUUGGGAAUCGGCACCCUUUCCUCACCUGUCCCUGCCCUCAAUCACAGCACCAGCAAUGCAGAGGUGGGGAAGAGAACCGGGAGGGCUUCUGUUCUGAAAUAACCUGAAGAUGCUUACCUGUGUCUAACAGAAGGAAUAUUCACAUGGAGUCAGGAAAUCUGAGUGACAACUCACCACCUUCUGACUUGCUUAGAAGACUGACCCCAACACUCUUGAGCCUCAAUAUCCUCAUCUGUAAAAGAAGAAUAAUUCCCACCCUGCUGACCUCACAGGGCUGCUGUGAAGACCAAAUUCAAAAGUGUGGAGGCAGAUGCUUGGUUCAUCUUGACAGAGGAUACACUUUAUCAUCAUCAACAUCAUUAUCAUGGACACACCUCAGCCACUGUCACCUAGGCCAGCGUAGGGCUCAGAGUGUGGAGACCCCAAAAUCAGUGCCAUUGCCAGCCACGACAGUCUUACCCCAAGGUCCCCCCCUGAGACCCCAUCCUCAUAUAAUUGCAGGGCCUGCUGUGAAAUUUUAAGAGCAGUAUCAGACCAUACCUUCAUUCUCUAGCUGUGUGACCUUGAGCAAGUCCACUUCACUGAACCUCAGUUUCAUUUAAAAAUGGCAAUGAUGGAACUUCCCUGGUGAUCCAGUAGCUAAGACCCAUGUUCCCAGUGCAGAAGGCCCAGGUUCAAUCCCUGGUUGAGGAACUAGAUCUCACACGCUACAACUAAGAGUUUGCAUACCACAAGUAAAGACCCUAAUGCUGUGACUAAAAGAUCCCACAGGCCACAGCGAAGAUGGAAGAUGCUGCGUGACCCAGUAUGUGUGUGUGCUAAGUCACUUUAGUCUUGUCCGACUCUUUGAGACCCCAUGGAGUGUAGUCUGCCACGCUCCUCUACGGGAUUCUCCAGGUAAGAAUAGUGGAGUGGGCUGCCAUGCCUCCUCCAGGGGGUCUUUCCAACCUGGAGGCUGAAACCGCACGUCCUGCAUUGCAGGCAGAUUAUUUACCCAUUGAGCCACCUGGGAAGCCCAAGACCCACACAGUCAAAUAAAUGUUUUUAAAAUGGC
ensembl:lncRNA